rnacentral:lncRNA from 1 species
GCAGGAGCCUGUACAUAUCGUGCUGAUUCAGUGGCACAUACAACACGGAGAAGGAAGGGGUACGGUGGACUCUCAAAGAUUCCCCUCCGGACAAAUCAAGCAUGCGAAACCCGCCGUGUGUGACAGUGGAACUGCAGGACUACAUAUGACCAGUACACAACAGUGGAUGUUUAUACGCCUCUCAAAGCUUGACGGAAUGCCACCAUGAAGUGGCAAAGAAGGAAGCUCAAAUCAACAACCACUCUUUCGUCCGUCUCUAGGCAAUUCCAAUGGUUCCUAAUUGCUUUCUAUUAUAUUUCGGUGCAUCUUUUGAUCACCAGUAAUUGAAAACCAAUAAACUGUUCGUUAAAAAGA